ACCCAGGCAGAUGAUUCUGACUGGAUCCUGAUGAGCAAUUAGCAAGCCAACGCACACAAGAAGAACAGCUGUAUUUCCCUCUAGCUCAGCCUCGGGACGAUUUCUUGAUCCACACUUUUUUUUCAUCAAUGGGGCUGUGUCCUCAGAAGCUAGUGGCUUAAUUUCCAACAGACGUCUCCAGAGCCCAGACAGCAGCAGGGCGAGCAAUGGAAUGAAGGCGUCCUGGUUGGUUCAGGCACCACAUGGGAAUGAAUGAUAUUUCCUGUGAGGGAAGAGGCUCAGCACAACUCCAAAUCUGGAAACUCAUGUCUGAAGAAAUACAAAGCCCAGAAGGAAGGGCAGCCUGGAGGGAAGGUGACUCUUCCUGGGUGGUCCGGCGCCUGUGCCCUCCAUAGCCCCUGUCCUCUUGAGAUGAACAAAGACCAGCAGCUGAUCCUGGAUUUGUCUGAGAAUUGCCAGGGCAGCGGUGGGUAAGGGAUCAAAAUCAGAGCCCGCCAAAGACUCGCCUCAGGAGCUGGAGGGAAAGAUGAAAGAGAUUGCCCAGAUCCGCAGGAACUACUGAGCCUUACUGACAGCCACCCACCUUUAAACAAUAUUGAGGAAUUCGUUUCUCACUGCUCUUGACUGUGGAUGCACUGUGGCUAGCUGCCUGGGCCCCUGCCUUGACCUCUUCAAGAUAGUGGACGAUAGCCUGGAACUGUGGGCCAAAUAAAAGCUUUCUCCUCUCAGUUGUAUCUUUUCACAGCAACAGAAAUGGAAGUUGGGCAAGGGCAGAGUGUGGGAUUGAGUCUAUAAACUGAAGGUUGAGAAUUUCGUGUUUCUGUGGCUCACUGUGAGGUUAAUAUGGAUGGCUAGAGGGUCAACAAAGCUGUGAUAGCUGCCUGAACUGAGGGACCAGAGAGGACUAGAGAGUGUGGAGAAUUGGACUAAAACUACAUAGUGGUUUGUGGUUAGACAGAGAGGGGUGUGCAGGAGCAAGCAAUGAGGAGGUCAGGGAAACCAAAGAGCACUUGAUAGGAGUCUCCACAGACUCCCUUUCCACAGGAUGGUGCUCUGCAGGCUGCAGUUCUUUCUCUCCAGAGGUUCCAACCCUCCCUCCCCGUCCAUCAGGCAGCUUCCACACGAUGACAGGUGCUGCAGAUGAUGUUGAGGAUGCUAGUGAGGACAGCAUUCUCACUAGCAGUGAGGACAGUGGAUAGAGCUCUUGGCAAGUGGCCACCCUGUGAAGGGGACAGGGUGACUUGAAGGACCCAUGAAACUAAAAUGAAUCCCCGUGUGUCAUGCUGGGUCAGUUCCUGAUUUCUGGGUAUCAGGGAAACCAUGCUGGAGUAAGAGGUCAAACAAGUUGCAGGGUGCAGAUAUGGGACAGUCUGGGAUCAAGAGACUCAGCUGUGAGCCUUGGCCCCUCUGAAGCUGGGGGAGGGGAGGUAGGCGAGAUUGUGUCUCAGAUCACCAGCCUCUGCCCAUAGGGUUCAACUUUGGUUAAAUAAAUGUUGCUGCCCACUGGGGGGGAAACUGGAAUAUGAAACAAUCAACAGCACAAGAGAAGGUGGCAUGAGAGCAAACAGGGAGAAAGUGUCAGGACAGCCCUGGUAAUCUUCCUUUAAAAAAAAAAAACUAAAAAACUUUAGUUUAAUAUCAUUUGGAGAAAACCAAAAAAAUCUUUCACUCAAAGAAUAGGAUUUUACAUCUCCAGGCAUCUCCUGAAUAACAUUUACAAAUUACAAAUCAUUUUCAUAUGCGAUGCCUUUGUGCACAUUUGACAUGCAUUCAGGAGCUUAAGUCAACCCCUGUUUUCAUUUUAACGGAGGGGCAAACAGGGAGUAAUUUGUGCUAAGGUCUGGGGGCCUGUUGCAUUCCCCACUGGUCUUAAUGAAUGGGUCAAAUAGUGGACUCAUCCCUCUCUAAAGAGGCAUAGAUGAGGUUAAGAGCACUGGCUGCUCUUCCAGAGUUCAAUUCCCAGCAACCACAUGGGGGCUCACAACCACCUAUGAUGCGAUCCGGUGCCCUCUUCUGACAUGCAGGUGUACAUGCAGGCAAAACAUCAUAUUCAUAUAAAUAAACAAAUCUUUAAAAAAAAAAGAGGCAUAGGUGAUUCUAAAGCCUAUUAAUUUUAUUGAAUUAUUGAAACAUAAUUGGCCAUAUAAUGUAAGGCACAGAGCUUCAUCAUUAUUCCAAGUAGAAUGAGAAUUAAAGGCCCAGCCAGUGCUGAUAGCAAAGUAGUUAGCCAAGGGAACCAAGAGAACAGAAACUGUACCAUUUACCUAACUAAUCUCUCCCUCUCUCUCUCUCUCUCUCUCUCGCUCUCUCUCUGGUUUUUCCCCAAACGUAGCAAGAUUU